rnacentral:rRNA from 1 species
GACCAUCUCCUAAGGCUAAAUACUCUCUAGUGACCGAUAGUGAACCAGUACCGUGAGGGAAAGGUGAAAAGCACCCCGGAAGGGGAGUGAAAUAGAACCUGAAACCGUGUGCUUACAAGUAGUCAGAGCCCGUUAAUGGGUGAUGGCGUGCCUUUUGUAGAAUGAACCGGCGAGUUACGAUUUGAUGCAAGGUUAAGCAGUAAAUGUGGAGCCGUAGCGAAAGCGAGUCUGAAUAGGGCGUUUAGUAUUUGGUCGUAGACCCGAAACCAGGUGAUCUACCCUUGGUCAGGUUGAAGUUCAGGUAACACUGAAUGGAGGACCGAACCGACUUACGUUGAAAAGUGAGCGGAUGAACUGAGGGUAGCGGAGAAAUUCCAAUCGAACCUGGAGAUAGCUGGUUCUCUCCGAAAUAGCUUUAGGGCUAGCCUCAAGUGAUGAUUAUUGGAGGUAGAGCACUGUUUGGACGAGGGGCCCCUCUCGGGUUACCGAAUUCAGACAAACUCCGAAUGCCAAUUAAUUUAACUUGGGAGUCAGAACAUGGGUGAUAAGGUCCGUGUUCGAAAGGGAAACAGCCCAGACCACCAGCUAAGGUCCCAAAAUAUAUGUUAAGUGGAAAAGGAUGUGGCGUUGCCCAGACAACUAGGAUGUUGGCUUAGAAGCAGCCAUCAUUUAAAGAGUGCGUAAUAGCUCACUAGUCGAGUGACACUGCGCCGAAAAUGUACCGGGGCUAAACAUAUUACCGAAGCUGUGGAUUGUCCUUUGGACAAUGGUAGGAGAGCGUUCUAAGGGCGUUGAAGCAUGAUCGUAAGAACAUGUGGAGCGCUUAGAAGUGAGAAUGCCGGUGUGAGUAGCGAAAGACGGGUGAGAAUCCCGUCCACCGAUUGACUAAGGUUUCCAGAGGAAGGCUCGUCCGCUCUGGGUUAGUCGGGUCCUAAGCUGAGGCCGACAGGCGUAGGCGAUGGAUAACAGGUUGAUAUUCCUGUACCACCUAUAAUCGUUUUAAUCGAUGGGGGGACGCAGUAGGAUAGGCGAAGCGUGCGAUUGGAUUGCACGUCUAAGCAGUAAGGCUGAGUAUUAGGCAAAUCCGGUACUCGUUAAGGCUGAGCUGUGAUGGGGAGAAGACAUUGUGUCUUCGAGUCGUUGAUUUCACACUGCCGAGAAAAGCCUCUAGAUAGAAAAUAGGUGCCCGUACCGCAAACCGACACAGGUAGUCAAGAUGAGAAUUCUAAGGUGAGCGAGCGAACUCUCGUUAAGGAACUCGGCAAAAUGACCCCGUAACUUCGGGAGAAGGGGUGCUCUUUAGGGUUAACGCCCAGAAGAGCCGCAGUGAAUAGGCCCAAGCGACUGUUUAUCAAAAACACAGGUCUCUGCUAAACCGUAAGGUGAUGUAUAGGGGCUGACGCCUGCCCGGUGCUGGAAGGUUAAGAGGAGUGGUUAGCUUCUGCGAAGCUACGAAUCGAAGCCCCAGUAAACGGCGGCCGUAACUAUAACGGUCCUAAGGUAGCGAAAUUCCUUGUCGGGUAAGUUCCGACCCGCACGAAAGGCGUAACGAUUUGGGCACUGUCUCAACGAGAGACUCGGUGAAAUCAUAGUACCUGUGAAGAUGCAGGUUACCCGCGACAGGACGGAAAGACCCCGUGGAGCUUUACUGUAGCCUGAUAUUGAAAUUCGGCACAGCUUGUACAGGAUAGGUAGGAGCCUUUGAAACGUGAGCGCUAGCUUACGUGGAGGCGCUGGUGGGAUACUACCCUAGCUGUGUUGGCUUUCUAACCCGCACCACUUAUCGUGGUGGGAGACAGUGUCAGGCGGGCAGUUUGACUGGGGCGGUCGCCUCCUAAAAGGUAACGGAGGCGCUCAAAGGUUCCCUCAGAAUGGUUGGAAAUCAUUCAUAGAGUGUAAAGGCAUAAGGGAGCUUGACUGCGAGACCUACAAGUCGAGCAGGGUCGAAAGACGGACUUAGUGAUCCGGUGGUUCCGCAUGGAAGGGCCAUCGCUCAACGGAUAAAAGCUACCCCGGGGAUAACAGGCUUAUCUCCCCCAAGAGUUCACAUCGACGGGGAGGUUUGGCACCUCGAUGUCGGCUCAUCGCAUCCUGGGGCUGUAGUCGGUCCCAAGGGUUGGGCUGUUCGCCCAUUAAAGCGGUACGCGAGCUGGGUUCAGAACGUCGUGAGACAGUUCGGUCCCUAUCCGUCGUGGGCGUAGGAAAUUUGAGAGGAGCUGUCCUUAGUACGAGAGGACCGGGAUGGACAUACCUCUGGUGUACCAGUUGUCGUGCCAACGGCAUAGCUGGGUAGCUAUGUGUGGACGGGAUAAGUGCUGAAAGCAUCUAAGCAUGAAGCCCCCCUCAAGAUGAGAUUUCCC